ACUAAUACAGUUUUUAGGCCUAUAUAAUAGAAGUUAUGUUAGUCUUACUGGUUACAAAGAAAUAAAAUAUAAAUUGAAAUCUUACAAAAUGGCAUGUCACACCAAUCAAUCUUGUUUUUUGAGUGUUUUAUGCCUUGUUUUGAUGGUUAGUUCGGGAUUGGUUACGAGUAUUUUGGUCCCUCCCGGAGGAGUUUGUAUAGGGCCUUGUGUUGCAACAUGCGACCAGGAUUGCCGUGGCAAGGGAUUUUGAAAAGGGGACAAUGUUAUAUUACUCUUGAGAAGACAACAUGUUAUUGUUUUCACUAAUGUAUUUUAUUCUAUGAAUUCAAUAAAAAUAAUAAAACGUGCACUUGAGUUUA